UAUCCUGUAUAUGUCCUGGUGACAUAGUGAAGGUUAUGUUGUGGAGGGUAGUAUCCUGUAUAUGUCCUGGUGACAUAGUGAAGGUUAUGUUGUGGAGGGUAGUAUCCUGUAUAUGUCCUGGUGACAUAGUGAAGGUUAUGUUGUGGAGGGUAGUAUCCUGUAUAUGUCCUGGUGACAUAGUGAAGGUUAUGCUGUGGAGGGUAGUAUUCUGUAUAUGUCCUGGUGACAUAGUGAAAGUUAUGUUGUGGAGGGUAGUAUCCUGUAUAUGUCAUGGUGACAUAGUGAAGGUUAUGUUGUAGAGGGUAGUAUCCUGUAUAUGUCCUGGUGACAUAGUGUUGUGGAGGGUAGUAACCUGUAUAUGUCCUGGUGACAUAGUGUUGUAGAGGGUAGUAUCCUGUAUAUGUCCUGGUGACAUAGUGAAGGUUAUGUUGUGGAGGGUAGUAUCCUGUAUAUGUCCUGGUGACAUAGUGGAG
rnacentral:lncRNA from 1 species